rnacentral:rRNA from 1 species
AGUGAACGCUGGCGGUAGGCCUAACACAUGCAAGUCGAACGGCAGCACAGUAAGAGCCUGCUCUUACGGGUGGCGAGUGGCGGACGGGUGAGGAAUACAUCGGAAUCUACUUUUUCGUGGGGGAUAACGUAGGGAAACUUACGCUAAUACCGCAUACGACCUACGGGUGAAAGCAGGGGAUCUUCGGACCUUGCGCGAUUGAAUGAGCCGAUGUCGGAUUAGCUAGUUGGCGGGGUAAAGGCCCACCAAGGCGACGAUCCGUAGCUGGUCUGAGAGGAUGAUCAGCCACACUGGAACUGAGACACGGUCCAGACUCCUACGGGAGGCAGCAGUGGGGAAUAUGGGACAAUGGGCGCAAGCCUGAUCCAGCCAUACCGCGUGGGUGAAGAAGGCCUUCGGGUUGUAAAGCCCUUUUGUUGGGAAGGAAAAGCAGCAGGUUAAUACCCCGCUGUUCUGACGGUACCCAAAGAAUAAGCACCGGCUAACUUCGUG